CUACAGGCCAACUAGAGCACCCAUAGAACUCCCAGGGAAAGUGCCUGCAGAAGUGCUGCCAAAGCUUGCUAGGGAGGAGCUCCACUGCAUGUCCUAUGGAUACAGGAACCAGCAGGAAGAAAUAUACCGGAACCAGGAAGAGAAGCCACUUUCCCCUGCAGUGUCCCUUCUGCGCCCUCUACUGACAAAGCUUAACGUUGUGUCAGCUGACAAGGAAGAAACGUUGCAGUAUCACAAGCAGGGCAACCAAAGGGAGGGUUGGAGCUGAGAGGCAAUGAAGUCGAACUGCCACAAGAACACGUCCCAGGGAGCUGCUGACCCAAAGAGAAUGAGAGAUGUGGAGAGCAGGCCUAAAUCCAAUCCACAGCUUAGAAGGAGAUGCAGCUGAUCCUAUCCAACCCCAGCAGAACCACAGGAACCUGCAAACCUACAAAAAGAGUGCGAGGCCAGAGCAUCUAAGCAGACUGAUGAUACAGGGAGUGGCAGCUGGCCCCAGUGACAAGAGAGGAAGCAAAUGUCAUGAAUGUGACCAGCAGACAUAUCAGGAAGCUGUGCCUGCACCCUGGCGGCUGCUGAAGGCCCUGUGCUCACCCCACCUGUCCCAGAACCUGAGGAAGACGUCCAGGAGCGCGGUCUCUCAGCCCCAGCCAGCGUCUUCACUCACUAACACCUUCACCUCGUACCAACGAAUGCUUUAAGGUACCUCAGGGAAAAACCCACAUCGUUCUACAAAAUAAAAAACAUUUCAAAUAAGACAAUUGAGGCAAAAAAGAAAAUAUCAGUAGCACAUGAGAUUAGUACCAAAACACAAACACAUCUUGCAAUUCCACACACUGGUGAGAAAUAGGCCACCAAUUUGGCUCCGAGUUUUCUAGUCCCCAACACAAAAGAAAACAGGAUCAUUUACACAAUUCAGAGUUCAUAACAGAAAAUCUAAACAGUCGUUCAAGAUAAACAUAGCGGUUCCUGGAACUGAAACCAGACAGAAAUGCCUCCCCUAGCCCCACAUGGAAAAGGCCCUGUGAUUUAGUGAGUAACAUCCUCCAAGCAGCCUUUCUGUAAACACGGCAAUGAGUUUCACAGGUCUGUUUGUAAAAACAUCCCUUGGUGUAGGCUGAUGUCAUAAUGCCAAAUUGUUAUCCAGUUACAAAAAAGAUGCCACAGGACAUCAGUACAAAUGUUCUGAGUACCAAAGUCUGGCUUAAUUAAAAAGCAGAUUUUCAAGAAACUAGAAGACUGGGUUAUCCUUAUUUUACAUGUAAGAAAACUGAGGCUCAAAAAGAUUGUCCAGAUGACUCAUGUGUCAGGAUCUCCCAUCUACUAAGUGACAGGGCAAGAACUCAGACAAAGGGUUUCGUCUGGUUUGCAUUUGUUUUUCACCAAGUCUCUGUUCUCGUCUAGACAACAUGAUGAGGGGUGGCUUGUGAAGAGUGGAAGAUCCAUUGAUGGUUGCUCAAGAUAAGAGCAAGACCUGGGAUCCUUAGCCUCUGCUUCCCUUCCGUUGUGUGGUACCUCCCCCUCCCCCUGCCUGGCCAUGAACAACUGUCCCACUGCACCAUGGAGUCACGUGGCCAGCCCCUGCCCUGAUGGCUCUGAGGUGGCUCCUUGACUCCCUCCAGCAAGACACAUCCUACAUUUCCGUAGGUGCCCAAAAGUAGCCCCCAGCCGUAGCCUUAGCUGCCUCCAGCUCCCUCACCUUUGUUCCUCCCGUGGGUCCAGGAGCUUGGAGCGCAUAAUGGGCUCAGCUGUGGGAGGAGAGCUGCAGCAGGGCAUCUGUCGGGGGAAGAGGAAGAAAGAGAAGAAAAACGGCCCCCUCUGAAAGCUUUCCAAUCACUCGAGCCACCACCAUCUCUAAUUCUUUUCUUAAAGUAUAAAAUCAUUCUUCC
rnacentral:lncRNA from 1 species